AAGGAUCAUUAACAAAUCUGUGGGGAGGGAAAGUUUACUGGUGCGGGUAUUCGAUCGAGUGCCAGCAUCAGUGACACACACCCCCCAACAUUGACUCGGGCGCUGCUCUGAUCACAUUCGUGUGGUUGGUGGGGAUGCCCUGAGACAUACACGCUUGUUUUGUUUGAUAGAGUAAAAUGACACUUUUAAAAUGACAACUUUUAACAAUGGAUCUCUUGGCUCUU
rnacentral:misc_RNA from 1 species